rnacentral:lncRNA from 1 species
GUAAGACAAGGAGGAAUUAAGGCUCCCAGAGAAGGAAGCCAUGCCUCCAAAGCUCUCUGGGUUCAAGCCUAGCACUUAUUCUACAGAAUGGGUAAUUAAUGGAAGUAUGGAAACAUGGUUAAAGGUGAUAACUCCUUCGGGACAAUGGAUACUGAAAAUUGAUUUUUUUCCUUGCUUUAGUAUCAAAACCACUCUCAUCAUCAAAUGCUGAAUCAUCAUUCUCUUCCUCUUUUUAUUGGCCUUCUUCUAUCAUCAACACUCCUAUACUGAAUUCAGGGGUUGAGGACCAACAAGGAGUGACAUACAUCCACUUGAACAUAGAGAUCCUGAGUAAGGGAAAUCAGUCCCUCUAUGACACCUCAAGAGACUGUAAUAUAUAGAUAACACUGUAGCUUGGUAGUAAGGGGCAAGCAGAGACAUAUGAGUCAUUUGGAAAAUAAACAUGAAAUUCAAACAGAGGGCUAGGGAUUCAAAGUGCAACAUGGGCAUAUGAUUCCAAGCUUGAAUCAUGUGAAGCACUUGAGGGAGAAGGCACCUGGCUUGUGAUAUACCAUGGGCAACUAUAUACUGUUCAAUACCUCCUAACUUUGAUUUAGCAGCUAUACCAAACAAAAACCCUUUUAAAAGCAUUUAAUCUUAGAGUUAUAAAACCACAAUAUAUCUUUCAACAUCUAGUGGCAAAUUCUGAUAGAUGCAUAAGAUAGGACAUCAUUUGCUUCUCUUUCUAUGAAUAUAUCAAAUUGGAAUUGUUUUGUUUUUGAAAAUAUUUGAAAAGGAGGGAGAUUGAAAGAAAUGUCUGGAAUAUAGGUCAAUAUGCUCAUAUUUUUCUUAAUAUUGAAUCAAUCCUGCAUUCCUGGUAUAAAUCCUAUCUGGUCAUAGUGUACAAUUCUUGGGAUAUAUUGCUACAAUCUCCUAGAUAGCAUUUCAUUUAAAAUUUUUGUAUCAAUAUUCAUUAGAGACAUUUAUCUAUAAUUUUCUUUCUCUGCUUUUGCUCUUCCUGUUUAUGUAUUAGCACCAUAUCUGUCUGGCUAAAGGAAUUUGAUAGAACUCUUUCUUUGCCUGUUUUUCCAAAUAGUUGAUAUGAUAUUAGAAUUAAUUGUUCUUGCUUAAUAAAAUUCACUUCCUCUAUCUGGCU